rnacentral:rRNA from 1 species
UACGUAGGGUGCGAGCGUUACUCGGAAUUACUGGGCGUAAAGCGUGCGCAGGCGGUUUUGUAAGUCAGAUGUGAAAUCCCCGGGCUUAACCUGGGAAUGGCAUUUGGGACUGCAAGGCUUGAGUGCGGCAGAGGAGACUGGAAUUCCUGGUGUAGCAGUGAAAUGCGUAGAUAUCAGGAGGAAUACCGAUGGCGAAGGCAGGUCUCUGGGCUGACACUGACGCUCAUGCACGAAAGCGUGGGGAGCAAACAGG